rnacentral:tRNA from 1 species
GGUAGUGGCUCAAGUGGUAGAGUGCUCACCUAGCAUGUUUGAGGUACUGGGUUCAAUCCCAGCACCA